AGAGUUUUUUCCUGGCUCAGGACGAACGCUGGCGGCGUGCUUAACACAUGCAAGUCGAACGGAGCACCCCUGAAGGAGUUUUCGGACAACGGAAGGGAAUGCUUAGUGGCGGACUGGUGAGUAACGCGUGAGGAACCUGCCUUCCAGAGGGGGACAACAGUUGGAAACGACUGCUAAUACCGCAUGAUGUGUUUUGAUGGCAUCAUUGAGACACCAAAGAUUUAUCGCUGGAAGAUGGCCUCGCGUCUGAUUAGCUAGUAGGCGGGGUAACGGCCCACCUAGGCGACGAUCAGUAGCCGGACUGAGAGGUUGACCGGCCACAUUGGGACUGAGAUACGGCCCAGACUCCUACGGGAGGCAGCAGUGGGGAAUAUUGGGCAAUGGGCGCAAGCCUGACCCAGCAACGCCGCGUGAAGGAAGAAGGCUUUCGGGUUGUAAACUUCUUUUAAGAGGGAAGAGAAGAAGACGGUACCUCUUGAAUAAGCCACGGCUAACUACGUGCCAGCAGCCGCGGUAAUACGUAGGUGGCAAGCGUUGUCCGGAUUUACUGGGUGUAAAGGGCGUGCAGCCGGGCUGACAAGUCAGAUGUGAAAUCCCGCGGCUCAACCGCGGAACUGCAUUUGAAACUGUCAGUCUUGAGUACCGGAGAGGUCAUCGGAAUUCCUUGUGUAGCGGUGAAAUGCGUAGAUAUAAGGAAGAACACCAGUGGCGAAGGCGGAUGACUGGACGGCAACUGACGGUGAGGCGCGAAAGCGUGGGGAGCAAACAGGAUUAGAUACCCUGGUAGUCCACGCUGUAAACGAUCGAUACUAGGUGUGCGGGGACUGACCCCCUGCGUGCCGCAGUUAACACAAUAAGUAUCGCACCUGGGGAGUACGAUCGCAAGGUUGAAACUCAAAGGAAUUGACGGGGGCCCGCACAAGCGGUGGAUUAUGUGGUUUAAUUCGAAGCAACGCGAAGAACCUUACCAGGGCUUGACAUGGGGAUGACCGGGCUAGAGAUAGUCUUUUCCCUUCGGGGACAUCCCACACAGGUGGUGCAUGGUUGUCGUCAGCUCGUGUCGUGAGAUGUUGGGUUAAGUCCCGCAACGAGCGCAACCCUUAUCCUUAGUAGCCAGCAGGUAGAGCUGGGCACUCUAGGGAGACUGCCAGGGAUAACCUGGAGGAAGGUGGGGAUGACGUCAAAUCAUCAUGCCCCUUAUGAUUUGGGCUACACACGUGCUACAAUGGCGUAAACAAAGGGAAGCGAGAGUGUGAGCUGGAGCAAAUCCCAAAAAUAACGUCUCAGUUCGGACUGCAGGCUGCGACCCGCCUGCACGAAGCUGGAAUCGCUAGUAAUCGCGAAUCAGAAUGUCGCGGUGAAUACGUUCCACGGGUCUUGCACUCACCGCCCGUCA
rnacentral:rRNA from 1 species